GUUUUUUUUCCGGCCCGAGUGUUACCAACUAUUUUCCAGGGGUCAUUUAUGACGCUCGUCGACGCCAUUUUAUAUAUUGGCGGAGUGGCCGCGCGGCGCGUCGUUGUUUCGUUGGAAAAUGUGGAUUGAUUUAAUUUAAUUGUAUUGCACUGAUUUUUGCAUUUCGAGUUGAUUUGCGGAGAAGGUGAGGUUGGUUUUAGUGUUGGCACAAUGUUGAUGUGGUGAUUGACUACUCCACCGGCCACCAUUCUCUCAGUUGCUCUCGGCCGGCGAAUCCAGCGUAAGCUGAAGGAGGCAAUGGACAAGACCUUCGCCGACCGCCGUCAGCUGGUAAUCAAAAGAAAAAUCGGACUGGCGGCUCUCAAACGCGUCUAUCCCGCCCUCUUCAAUGAAGUGGAGAUCUGGGAAGAACACGCAAGGGUGCGUGGGGUAAACAGGACCUGGGAAGAGGAGUUGGAGGAAGCGAGGAUGGCGCUCAAAUCCAUGUUGAACGGAGUCGCCUUCUGUGACACUCUGGAUGAAAAGCUGGCACAUGUGCUGAUGGAGAUGAGGGAGGAACACGUCGUGUUCGGGCCGCCAGGAGGUCAGGCUGGCCCACCGACCAUCCACGAAGAGGAACUAUGGGUGGAGGGCGUAAAGGUGGCCCAGUUUGAUAGGUUCAUGUCAAAGGCGGACCAAUAUCUGACCUGGGGGGCGGCAUUCACUGUGUUCGCACAGCGCCUCAGUUUCCGCGCGACGCAAGCAGCUGCCUACUGGGCGGGGCGGGCGUACGCGGCGCCGGCCGUUCGGCUUAGCGCCCCUGCGAAUGGGAUCUGAAGUGUCGGCUGAGCCCGCGCCGCCAGCCUGAGACGGGCGGCGACGUCUCCGGCUGGCGGCUCCGCGGCUCCGGUCUGGCGCCGGCCGAGCUCCGUACCUACUUGUGAUGCGUUGAGGCGCUGCCCGCGGUGUCCGCCGGGCGGCCUCUCGUCCCGCGCGGCGACUGCGGCUGCUGCAGUGCCAAUAUGCAUGCUCUGCAUUUCUGUUCGCACUAUACGAAUCAAUACAGUUGACAGUAA